AGAGUUUGAUCCUGGCUCAGAGCGAACGCUGGCGGCAGGCCUAACACAUGCAAGUCGAGCGCCCCGCAAGGGGAGCGGCAGACGGGAGAGUAACACGUGGGAACGUACCCUUCAGUUCGGAACAACCCAGGGAAACUUGGGCUAAUACCGAAUACGUCCGUAAGGAGAAAGAUUUAUCGCUGAAGGAUCGGCCCGCGUCUGAUUAGCUUGUUGGUGAGGUAACGGCUCACCAAGGCGACGAUCAGUAGCUGGUCUGAGAGGAUGAUCAGCCUCACUGGGACUGAGACACGGCCCAGACUCCUACGGGAGGCAGCAGUGGGGAAUAUUGGACAAUGGGCGCAAGCCUGAUCCAGCCAUGCCGCGUGGGUGAUGA
rnacentral:rRNA from 1 species